rnacentral:rRNA from 1 species
UACGGGGGGAGCAAGCGUUGUUCGGAUUUACUGGGCGUAAAGGGCGCGUAGGCGGCGCAACAAGUCACUUGUGAAAUCUCCGGGCUUAACCCGGAGCGGCCAAGUGAUACUGUCGUGCUAGAGUGCGGAAGGGGCUACUGGAAUUCUCGGUGUAGCGGUGAAAUGCGUAGAUAUCGAGAGGAACACCUGCGGCGAAGGCGGGUAGCUGGGCAGACACUGACGCUGAGGCGCGAAAGCCAGGGGAGCGAACGGG